AAAAAAAAAAAAAGGGAACUGCAUGAAUGAAUGAAUCCUUUUGGAAGAACGGAACUCCUAAGUACUUACCUUUUUGUUGUGAAGUGGAGACUGAAGUCCCUAGACCACCGGAAUAUUUUAACAAGAUUCCGUGUUUAAAGCAUCGUAACCACAACCAUUGGAGUUGGGUGUUUUGUAACUGUGUAAAGUACGGUCAGAAAUGGUAUUGUAGUUCUAGAAGGAGACAUUAUUAUUGUAUGAAGUGUCAAGAGUACCAAUUCCCCCGUGGAGACCAAUUGAAUAGAGU